AAUAUUUCGCAAUGGAGGGAACUCUGACGCACCGACGCCGCGUGAGCGAUGAAGGUUUUCGGUACGUAAAGCUCUGUCCUUGGGGAGGAUGGCGGCCAUUUAUGGUCAAUUGAUGUUACCUAAGGAUGAAUCCCUGGCUUACUUCGCGCCAGCAGCCGCGGUAAUACGUAGGGGGCAAGCGUUGUACGGAAUUAUUGGGCGUAAAGGGUGCGUAGGCGGCCUUUUAAGUCAGAUGUGAAAGACCACGGCUUAACCGUGGGGUUGCAUUUGAAACUGGAGGGCUUGAGUAUCGGAGAUGGUAGUGGAAUUCCCAGUGUAGCGGUGGAAUGCGUAGAUAUUGGGAGGAACACCAGUGGCGAAGGCGACUACCUGGACGAAAACUGACGCUGAGGCACGAAAGCUAGGGGAGCAAACA
rnacentral:rRNA from 1 species